AAUUUGAACAAACCCUAGCCCAUUCUUUAUUUCUCUUCUUUAAACUCCACUAGUCCACUCCAGUCUCCAUGCUCCAUCCACGCAGCGACACCGAGCACAGCAAGGCAGCAACCACAGCCGCCCACGCCCACUGCCCUCCCGCCGUCACGGAUUCUUGGUGGAGGGUAUUCUUGAGGCGCAGAUUCACAGCUUGCUGCCUGUUAUGUCCUUGCCAAUCGCCGAAGGCCAUCACGAUUUGCACCAGUCGCCACUCUUGGUUCUCCUCCGCUGUCACAGCCUGCUGUCCAGUGUCCUCACGUCGCAGGCUUCGGAUCGUUGCCGCAGUCGAUCGCCGAACUCGCCACUUUUCCAGAUCUGCUCAAUGUGCUCAUCCUGUUGACGACUUGAUGCCACAUCUGUCUCCACCCUACCAGAUCUGAUCUCCCUCGCCAUCUUGCAAUAUUGAUGUGUCGAAGGCUUUGAGAGCUUUGUUGACUCAUUGAUAGCUAAGCAAAUCGUCUCCAGCAAGAUCGUAAGGGUCUUAGGAAUCUUAAAAGUUGUCAUCUGACGUGCCAUCUUCACUAUCUAUUGAAGAUAAUGAUUCCUUGAGGAUCUUUUUGAAUUCUUCUUUUAAUGAGGCUGCUGCUACAAGCCUAGCUUGAAAUUGACUCUUUGAAUUUAGAAAAUUUUCAUAAGAUGGAACACCACUUGGUGGCCUUGAGGAAGAACUGGAAGACUCUUGAAACCAUUUUUGAAUGUUGAUCAGACUAAGAUGUUCUGUGUUGGGAA